rnacentral:rRNA from 1 species
GUAGGUGGCAAGCGUUGUCCGGAAUUAUUGGGCGUAAAGCGCGCGCAGGCGGUUCUUUAAGUCUGAUGUGAAAGCCCACGGCUCAACCGUGGAGGGUCAUUGGGAACUGGAGAACUUGAGUACAGAAGAGGAAAGCGGAAUACCACGUGUAGCGGUGAAAUGCGUAGAGAUGUGGAGGAACACCAGUGGCGAAGGCGGCUUUCUGGUCUGUAACUGACGCUGAGGCGCGAAAGCGUGGGGAGCAAACAGGAUUAGAUACCCUGGUAGUCCACGCCGUAAACCGAUGAGUGCUAAGUGUUAGGGGGUUUUCCGCCCCCCUUAGUGCUGCAGCUAACGCAUUAAGCACUCCGCCUGGGAGUACGGCCGCAAGGCUG